rnacentral:lncRNA from 1 species
CUGCAUCAGAAUCACAUUAAUAUUAACAAGCACGUACUAAGAAAUUCAUGAACAUGACCAAUUGCACUAAUCAUUCUCACUCAGUGCUAAAAAUGUCACUAGAAUAUUAAGUUGGAAAUGUGAAUGCCUGCAAACAUCACAAGCCAAGACUGGCUCACAACAAGCAUAAGGCAUUGGAACUUCUACAAAAUCACCUGCUGUUAUCCUUUUGGCACCACAAUUAUUGAUAUCUCAAUAAUAGGAUGCUA